GUGAACGCUGGCGGUAGGCCUAACACAUGCAAGUCGAACGGCAGCACAGUAAGAGCUUGCUCUUACGGGUGGCGAGUGGCGGACGGGUGAGGAAUACACCGGAAUCUACUUUUUCGUGGGGGAUAACGUAGGGAAACUUACGCUAAUACCGCAUACGACCUACGGGUGAAAGCAGGGGAUCUUCGGACCUUGCGCGAUUGAAUGAGCCGAUGUCGGAUUAGCUAGUUGGCGGGGUAAAGGCCCACCAAGGCGACGAUCCGUAGCUGGUCUGAGAGGAUGAUCAGCCACACUGGAACUGAGACACGGUCCAGACUCCUACGGGAGGCAGCAGUGGGGAAUAUUGGACAAUGGGCGCAAGCCUGAUCCAGCCAUACCGCGUGGGUGAAGAAGGCCUUCGGGUUGUAAAGCCCUUUUGUUGGGAAAGAAAAGCAGCAGGUUAAUACCCCGCUGUUCUGACGGUACCCAAAGAAUAAGCACCGGCUAACUUCGUG
rnacentral:rRNA from 1 species